GUCGGCACGUCUGGUAGCAUCUCUGGCUGCUGUUGAACUUGUUUUUGGAGUAAAACGCGGUGGAAGCUGAAUUAGUGAGGAUGACUCCUGCUCCUGUCAUCUCUAAGCUCCUCACACAUCUUUACCUGCACAUGAGGAAAAUCACUCCUGUAGAAUGCAGAUGUUCAGAGGGAGAUGAUGCCACAUCUGGUCCAGCUGAUGGAAGGUCUUGAAGUUCUCUGACUGGCCUCGACUGAAGAUGGUCGUCUCACUGGAUUUAAGGUUCAGAUGCUCAGUAACAAACUCCACCAAUGAGCCAACAGGGAAGCUUUAGGUUUAUUAAAUGUUGCUAUGAAGGUUUCGCUGUUUUUCUUUGUGAAUGCAAUGUGCUCCAACUGAAACUUGAAUUAGAACUUAGAAGUAAAUCCUUCCAUCUGAAAGGAUCUAGUUGCAUUAAUAACCUCAUAACAUUCUAAUUUUUAUUCCAGUCUUGGCUGGAAAUAGAAUCUCUGUAUUGAUUCAGGUAAAAACUGAACUUCACAGCAUGUUGGAGCAAAACAACCAGAUGAAAACUGUGAUGGUGUUGGAUUGUCAGACCGUAAUAUUGCAGCUCAAAGCAGCUUUUCUAUCUCAGUUCAUUCUGACAUUCAGCUAUGAAUCAACACAGCAGAUGGUGAUCCAUGCUGUGGAAGUCUCACAUCUCCUGAUUUAAUGGAGCUGCUUUACACUUUUUACACUGUUUAUUCACCAACACUUUAUUUAAUAAAAGUCCCAUCUAGUUUUUAUGAGGAAUGUGAUGUUUUAAUUUCUCUGUGAAUAACUGCAGUCUAAUGCAACAGCUGGAGUUGUAACAUCUGUCCUGAUAUUGAUCAUGAAGUAUUGAUCAGAAUACUUAUGGUCAGCAGUCAUCCCUGAAGUUUUACAUUAAAAUCUUUACUUGUGUUGUGAACUUUGGUAAGAAGCAGAAACAUUAGCGUUGCCAUGGAUACAUGAGUGUUAAAUUCUGUCCAUGUUUCCAUUUUGGGAAAUUCAGCCAGCAGAUGAGUUUUUUUUUUUGUUUUUUUUUUACUGCCAGCUUCCAUUCAGUCUGAGAUAUUAAGAAUAAAUAAAUGUGCAUAAUGUGGAAAUGAACAGAUUUUAUUUUUAUUUAUUCCUACAGCUGCAGGUAAAGUUCCAGAAUGUGGAGGAAUUUAGUCUCACAAUCACAGACAAUCAAUAUUAUCUGAAAGUCGGGUUAUUGUUGUUUAUCAGCACAAUACAAAAAGAUUCAUGUUAGACAUAUUCCAGUUAAGACUCUAGAAUAUCAGGAAUUAUGUAAAUUUACCUCAGUAAUAUGAAUGUUAAGGUUAAGAUUGUGCAGUGAUAUUUAUUAUGCAAGUUUAGCUGAUUAAAGUGUAUGACUCUGCACUACAAUAUUAUUUAUUAUUUAAAUUUACAUCAUUAUUAUUAUAUUUAAGGUCAGACCCUACAGUAUUGAGAUUAAGAAAAAAAGAAGAAAAAAAGAGAGAUUAAGAAAUCAAACAUUCUAUAAAAUGUAAAUACACUGAACUCAUUUGGAUAUAUUUAAGUGAGACUCUACAAUAUUAUUUAUGACACAACUCUAUCUAAAUCAACAUUUUAAUCAUUUUUACUUCAAACAUUUACUGGACUGAUUUAAAUAUUAAAAUCACUCCUUUCUAAUCCUCUGCUGUAUGUUCAAACCUGAGGCCUGAAAUAGAAACACACAAGUAUCUGUUUGAAGGAACUUCUGCAGAGUCCUGGUUCCACAACAUGAUGAUAGAAUUAUAGACAAACUUUAACAAAAGCUGCCUGAGAGUUUACAGGUUUUUAUGUUAGAUUUCUUCAGUAAUUUAAUGAGCGUUAUCAGCAAUCAUCAAGUGUUCAUUUGAUGAACUUCAUUUCCUAAAACAUCCAGAAUUGGAGCUCAUAUCUUUGGCAGCUGUAAAGUUUCUGCUCCUUCAAAGUUCACAACACAAUGAAUUAAUUCCUAAAACACUCUCAGUGCUGGAGAGCGUUUGAUGCUGAAGCAGUGAUCAGUUUUUCUGUUUCUUCUCUGGAGAUGCACAAUGAGGGACGUCUGCAGAGACUGAGAAAGAGUCUCACCACAUCCUGACAUGAGGAAAAAGACUUUAUUGAAGACUACAAUGAGAAAAACUAUCAGACAGCAGACGGCUGCAUUCAAGGUGAGCUCUGAACAUUUGAUCUGGAACAGGAAUUCAAUAACGGCAGCAUGAGCUUCAUUUCAGUCUGUAGCUGCUGAAUUCAUGGAUGAAUCAUCUGGCAUUAGAGAGGAAGACCAUCAAACAUCCACGUCAGCUGAUGGAGGUCCAAGAGUCUCACCGAACAAACAACCUACAGAGUGAAGACCUGGAAUCUGAUUUUUAGGCUGUUAGAUUGUUC
ensembl:lncRNA